AGUGAACGCUGGCGGUAGGCCUAACACAUGCAAGUCGAACGGCAGCACAGUAAGAGCUUGCUCUUACGGGUGGCGAGUGGCGGACGGGUGAGGAAUACAUCGGACUCUACUUUUUCGUGGGGGAUAACGUAGGGAAACUUACGCUAAUACAGCAUACGACCUACGGGUGAAAGCAGGGGAUCUUUGGACCUUGCGCGAUUGACUGAGCCGAUGUCGGAUUAGCUAGUUGGCGGGGUAAAGGACCACUAAGGCGACGAUCCGUAGCUGGUCUGAGAGUAUGAUCAGCCACACGGGAACUGAGACACGGUCCAGACUCCGACGGGAGGCAGCAGUGGGGAAUAUUGGACAAUGGGCGCAAGCCUGAUCCAGCCAUACCGCGUGGGUGAAGAGGGCCUUCGGGUUGUAAAGCACUUUUGUUGGGAAAGAAAAGCAGCAGGUUAAUACCCCGCUGUUCUGACGGUACCCAAAGAAUAAGCACCGGCUAACUUCGUG
rnacentral:rRNA from 1 species